rnacentral:lncRNA from 1 species
AUGAGAUAUAUGUUCUCAUUUAUUCCUCUAGAGAGUGAGAUUGCUGUAGGACCUGUCACCCAUAUCCCAGACCAUGGAGCACCAGGAGACAUGACAUCAGUGACUAGCAGCCUCUAUGAAUCCACAGUAGGUGCCAUUGCAGCAGGGAGCUCCUACUCCAAGACAUUCACCCUCAACUUUACCAUCACCAACAUGUUUUAUACACCAGACAUGGGUGAAAGGGGCUCCAACACAUUUAAGGCUGCUGAGAAUGUCCUGCAAGUUCUGGUGAGACUCCAUUCCCCUUCCCCUACCUUCUCUCCCCCAUGCUGCCUUCCUUAGCCCUGAUUAUCCAGGCUUGGUCUAGUCAGGUUCUCAGAAGUUCCUUUCUCCCCUUUUGUUUUCAGCUGAAGUUCUUAUUUGGAAUGAGCAACCUUGGCUCUCACUAUUCUGCAUGCAGUGUGAACUUGCUGAGGUGAGAAUCCUGCAAGAUGUCCACUCAAAUAGCAAAGACCACGCUUUCCCAUUUGACUUAGAUUUUGUCCAGGCUGCUGCUGCUUCUCCUUCCCAAUAGCAAUUCCUUCUUUCCCACGAUGUAAUGGAUAAAAUUCCCCAACCAGCAAGCCAUUAGAAACAUUCUAGACAUCCUCCUAUCCUUUAUGUGGUGAAGAAAAACUUCUUUCCACAUAAGUCUUCCAAAUUUAAAACUCCAUGUGAGAAGGAAUAACAUGGCAGGCACCAAGUGAGUGGGUAGAAAUUGAUUGAUUCAAACACAUAUCAGCAUUGAUUUUCUCUAGAAUCGGAGGAUUAUAUUUUAAAAGUUGGAAGGGGCAGUAGAGGUCAUCUAGACCAUUCCCUUCAUUUACAGAUGAAAAAUGAAGAACCAAGGAUAGUUCAAUAACUUUUAUAAUGUCAAAGAUAAUUGCCCAAUUCCAAAUUUGAACACAGGCCCUUUGACUUUAAGUCCAAGUUCUUUCUACUACUCUAAGGAAACUACUGAAGAUAAUCAGACCCCAUACAUACUUGUAAACAUAAAAAUAAGUAAAUAGACAGAGCACUGCCAACUCCAGUUUGGUGAAUAAAGUGCUAAGCAUGGAUUCA